GGCCGACCCCCGCCACCGCCGACUCCGGCCACGGCGGCGGCGGCGGGGUGCUGCUGUCCGACGUCAGGAGGGAGAUCUACGACCGCCUGCGGGCCGUCGGCAACCAGGAGGCGCUCGCCGACCCCUUCUUCAACCGCGUGCUCGAGGACAACUACCAACGCCUCCCAGCAAGGUCCGUCCUUUCCGCCCACCCCCCGUCCACGCCCGCGUUUUCACCUCACCAACGCCUCUCUCUCUGUUUGUCUGUCUGUGUCCGCGCCCACCGGGGAUGCAGCCACUACAUCGACCUCGACGUGAGCAUGGAAACCAGGGAUCCCCCACAAUUACUGUUUUGAUUUGGAGCCAGAGGUUUGUCCUGCUGAAGGUACUGCACAAGGAAGCAGAGGAGCAUGAUAAUACAGUAAGCGACAGUGUGCAGGGAAGAUUUCAUGAGUUUAAUGGAUGGAUGAAUUUACCCUUAGGAAUCAGACGUGGAAGACGGGACGGUUGUCGGGGUCGGCGCACUCGGCGAGGAUCCGGCGAUGGAGCAGCAUGUCCUCCGCCUUGUUCACCAGCGUUCCUGCGUGGCAUAGUUCUGUAAGAAUUGUCAAAAGCUCAAAAGCGAAUGUUAGAAGCGUGGAGAAUGAGAAGACUGAUGGAACGGGAGCUUGACAGAAGGUCAAAUGAUUGGUCAGCCAGGCUGGCAAGAUUUCAAGCCGAAGAACAGCGACUACGGGAUAGAGUAAUGGAGCUAGCAGAGCAGAAUGUGUCAUUUCAGAGAGAAGUUACUUUGUUUGAAUCGAAACAAGUUGAGGCUUCUAACAAGAUUAGAAGUUUGGAAUUGCAAAACAAACAACUGAAUGAUGAGAUGGAGAAAGUUAAAGUUGAUUUUUGCAGGUAAAGUUGGUGUCCCGAAGCAGCUAUUUGUUAACACAGACCCAUUGUCAAUACCAGCUGCGGUUAUGAGGGCUGGGCUAUCACUUCCAUUAGGCAGGAAGGCAUGAAUUCAACGGCGAAAACUUCUAUCACGAUGGGGUCCCUCUAGGCGGGAAGGCAUGGACCCAACAACAAGGACAUCGAUUAUGAUGGAUUCAACCAGACUGCUCGAUUACUGAAUGACAUAAUAUGGUUAUGAUGUGGGUUCAUGGAGCUUGUAGAAGAGCAAAGUUUUACCUGCUUAUAACGUGUCCCCUUCUCCCGGUAGAGUUAACUACACAUGGAGGUUUGAGGAAGAGCUCGUUGGACGAAUUUUUCGCCCGGUGCAACGCACGGGCAUUUGUACUAGUAUAAAUAAGGAGCAAUACCUGCGGCGGACGGGUCAAGUGUCUUCCCCUCCAGUUCCACCGAAUCAAAGGGGGCGCUUGCAACGGAGACAACGGCGGAGGCGGCGGCGGCUCUGACAAGUCGCGCUGUAGCUUGCACCUCUUUAUCUGACGUCCAAGAUCUGACGGAGGGAAUUGGCCAAAGGGUAAGACAGCCCACAGAUUGUCAGUUUUCAGCAGAGACGCCCGCACUUGUAGUUUUCAACAGCACGGGCAACAAAAGCUAUGCACUGAGCACUCUUCAUAUUUAGAUUCUCAAAAAUAAAUUAUAAAAAGGAUAACUGAACCCAUUAUGCAGGAA